rnacentral:lncRNA from 1 species
AUCAUCUCGCUAGGCUAAUUUCACCAGAAAACGAACUCCGAGGAACAUAGGCAGGGCCCAUGACCAGGGGCAAAUACCAUUUUUGACGAUCAAUGGUGAAACCAUGUUUGCUGGAUCCUUGGGAAUGGAGCGAUUUGGUUGCUGAAAUGGUGAGUUUAGCACCGACCAUCAUUUAUGGUUGUUGGCAUCGUCGAAUCAACUCAUUGGUGACAAGAUCUUGUCAUUGGCAGCGGCGUGGGCGACUAAAUUGCCACAACAGUGGUCGGAGAGGAGAAAAACAAGACAAAGAAAGAACACAAUUAGGAAAUAGAGAGAGGUGGAUGAUCUGGCAACUAAAAGGCAUUCCAUGGCCAAUGACCAGAAAGAAAUAAAGUGGAG